rnacentral:rRNA from 1 species
UGGGGAAUAUUGGACAAUGGGCGAAAGCCUGAUCCAGCCAUGCCGCGUGUGUGAAGAAGGUCUUCGGAUUGUAAAGCACUUUAAGUUGGGAGGAAGGGCAUUAACCUAAUACGUUAGUGUUUUGACGUUACCGACAGAAUAAGCACCGGCUAACUCUGUGCCAGCAGCCGCGGUAAUACAGAGGGUGCAAGCGUUAAUCGGAAUUACUGGGCGUAAAGCGCGCGUAGGUGGUUUGUUAAGUUGGAUGUGAAAUCCCCGGGCUCAACCUGGGAACUGUAUUCAAAACUGACUGACUAGAGUAUGGUAGAGGGUGGUGGAAUUUCCUGUGUAGCGGUGAAAUGCGUAGAUAUAGGAAGGAACACCAGUGGCGAAGGCGACCACCUGGACUAAUACUGACACUGAGGUGCGAAAGCGUGGUGAGCAAACA